rnacentral:miRNA from 1 species
UCCUCUCAAAUAAUUUCCAAUUUAUCAUAUAUGUAUAUACAUAUGUAUGUAUGUAUGUGUGUGUAUAUAUGUGUAUAAACACACACAUACAUACUAUGUAUAAACAAGAUCGAUA